GACGAACGCUGGCGGCGUGCUUAACACAUGCAAGUCGAACGGUGAAGCGCCUUCCUUUUUGGUGGGUGUGGAUGAGUGGCGAACGGGUGAGUAACACGUGAGUAACCUGCCCCCUUCUUCUGGAUAACCGCAUGAAAGUGUGGCUAAUACGGGAUAUUCUGGGUCUGUCGCAUGAUGGGUCUGGGAAAGAUAUUGUUUCGGUGGGGGAUGGGCUCGCGGCCUAUCAGCUUGUUGGUGGGGUGAUGGCCUACCAAGGCGGUGACGGGUAGCCGGCCUGAGAGGGUGGACGGUCACACUGGGACUGAGACACGGCCCAGACUCCUACGGGAGGCAGCAGUGGGUAAUAUUGCACAAUGGGCGCAAGCCUGAUGCAGCGCCGCCGCGUGAGGGAUGGAGGCCUGCGGGUUGUGAACCUCUUUCGCCAGUGAAGCAGGCCUGCCUCGUUUGUGGGUGGGUUGACGGUAGCUGGAUAAGAAGCGCCGGCUAACUACGUG
rnacentral:rRNA from 1 species